AGUGAACGCUGGCGGUAGGCCUAACACAUGCAAGUCGAACGGCAGCACAGUAAGAGCUUGCUCUUACGGGUGGCGAGUGGCGGACGGGUGAGGAAUACAUCGGAAUCUACUUUUUCGUGGGGGAUAACGUAGGGAAACUUACGCUAAUACCUCAUACGACCUACGGGUGAAAGCAGGGGAUCUUCGGACCUUGCGCGAUUGAAUGAGCCGAUGUCGGAUUAGCUAGUUGGCGGGGUAAAGGCCCACCAAGGCGACGAUCCGUAGCUGGUCUGAGAGGAUGAUCAGCCACAGUGGAACUGAGACACGGUCCAGACUCCUACGGGAGGCAGCAGUGGGGAAUAUUGGAACAUGGGCGAAAGCCUGAUCCAGCCAUACCGCGUGGGUGAAGAAGGCCUUCGGGUUGUAAAGCCCUUUUGUUGGGAAAGAAAAGCAGCAGGUUAAAACCCCGCUGUUCUGACGGUACCCAAAGAAUAAGCACCGGCUAACUUCGU
rnacentral:rRNA from 1 species